UCCUUUUUUGUGGUUUGUGCUGUAAUAAGAAGGAUGUUGCUAUGACCAUACCGAUUCUCUCAACGCUCUCUCUUUUUUUCGCCAGUUAACUAUUUUGAUUCUUUUAGUGUGGGCUAAGACUUUUUGCUUUUCUUUCUAUUGAUUGAGACCUAGCCUCUCUCCUUUGGUUCGUAGCCUUGGGGUUAUACACUUUUCCUUAAGGCAGAGGUUUUGCCCCGCUAGGAAAGAAUGGAACUUCAGAAACAUGUACUCCGUCGAAGGCAAAGAGGUUUCAGCAACCCUAGAGCUAGUUCAACUUGAAGACUGUCUUUUUCUCUAUACGGAAUUCCUAGGAGUCCACAAAAGAAGGCAGUACCAAAUAACCUAGAAUAAGGAAGUUUUAGACCCACUCAAGGGAACUAGCAAAGAAGCAAGAUGUCCAGUCACCUGGUCUUUA
rnacentral:lncRNA from 1 species